CAGUGAUUGAGCACCUGGUGAGGGGUGUGGCCAGCCCUGCCAGCACAGGUGGAAGCAAUCUACCUGUGGGACCGGAUAGGGCUGAGCUUGGCUCCACCCCCUCCCUGCCCAUAUUUAAGGGCUGGGAACAGCAAGGGCAGCAUUCUGCUUGGGAGCUGCCUCCUUGGGAUCAUUGGAAGUAAGUUCUGCUCUUUGGAAUUGGGGUGAGUGAUUGAUGCUUUGUUGCAGGGCUCUGGUCUUUCUGUUUUUGGGAUCCUAACUGCUUUUAAAGGUAGAAAGCUGUAAGGGCAGCACCUCUGCACGGAGACUGCUUCCUUUGGGGUGUGGGCUGAGUGUUUGCUUUUGGAAUGGGGUCAUUGGUUUCUUCUUUAUUGCUGGAUUGUAAUUUUACUUUCUGGAGGGCUCCUGACCAUGUUUAAGGUCGGUCAGCAGAAAGAGCAGCAACUGCACCUGGAGACUGCUUCCUUUAGAGCGUAGGGUGAACCCUUGAAACAGGGGCUGUGUCCUUUCACUUUUGGUUUUUGGGGCAUCCUGACCACAUCUAAGUGCUGACAGAUGUAAGGGCAAUGUUGAUCUCUGGAGACUGUCUCCUGUGGAGCAUGAUAUCCUGACCACUUUUAAGGGGUGGAAGCCAUAAGGGUAGCAUCUGUACCUGGAGACUACUUCCUUGGCAGUGUGGGCUGAGUGUUCAUCUGUGGAAUGGGGAAGCCAAGGUUUGUCCUCUUCUGGACCGCUGUACUCAGCAUCAGCCCAGAUAUCUCCAUCCUAAUUGUCUGGAGAUGCUCUCUGGUUCCCAACAGCGUGAUGAAGUGAAGCCCCUGCUCUGCUGAAUACUGGGACUGGCCCAGAGAGGCUCUGUGACGGAUGUGGAUUAUCCCAGCUGGAGCACCUGGUACCAUUGGUGGUGAUCUUGUCCAACUGCCACACAACGAACAGGAACAUCCACAGCCAGAUCAGUGCCCAGAGCCUGACCCAGCCUCACCUUGGAAGGGACAGGGCAUCCAUCAUGUCUGGGUGUUGAAAGGCUGUUACCAGAUCACCUCGGAGCCUUCACUUCUGCAGGUUGAGCAGCUCCAGCUCUCUGUCUUUAUAGGAAAGGCGUUCCAUCCCUCAGUUCAUAUCUGUGGCCAUUCUCUGGAUGUGCUCCAACAGCUCCACGUCUGUCCUGCACUGCAGGCAUCCACAUCCACACACAGCACCUCCAGGUGAGGCCUCCCAGCGCAGAGCAGAGGGGCAGGACCGCCUCCCUUCGCCUGCUGACCACACAUCUUUGGAUGGAGCCCAGCAUACGGUUGGCUUUCUGGGCUGGAAGGCACAUUGCUGAGUGCCACUACUCAGCCUGUUGAGGUCCCUCUGGAUGGCAUCCCGUCCCUCUGGUGUGUCACCGCACCCCACAGCUUGGUGUCAUUAGGGUGCACUCCACCCUACUGUCAAUGUCACUGAUGAAGGGGCAGUCCUGGGUGUUUGUACAAACUCAGCAAAGAACACCUUGAGAGCAGCCCCACAGAGAAGGACUUUGGAUCCUGGUGGGUGAGAAGCUGGAUGUCAGCCAGCAGAGUGAGCUUGCAGCCUGGAAGGCCAGCUGUGUUCUGGGCUGCAUUAAAAGAGGAGCGGCCA